rnacentral:ncRNA from 1 species
CAAACGACAAUGAUGGAGAAAAGUAGCUUAGCCCCAGCCUUCCAGGGAGAAGAAGUCGAGACUGGAAGCUUCUUCAAGGUAUGAUUAAGUGAAGUUCUCUCCGGAGUUGCUGUGCUGAAUCAUAGUAGGUGCAGCCGGGAUUUCCCGCCGUUAAAAGGGAACAGGUAUCGGACUUAGUUCCCGUACUGGUAAUAAGCGGCCUUUUUGGCAAUUUGGGUGGUACCGCGAAAUUUAGCAUUUCGUCCCAUAGUGGAUGAAAUGCUUUUUUAGUUACCAUAGAGAAUUAUGUCCCGUACCUUGUAGAGGUGGGUCAUUUUGUGGCCAAAUUGGGUGGUACCGCGGAUUUUCUCCGUCCCUUUU